CGAAGGAGGUUUCACUCACAUCAGUGAUUGCAGGUUCCCAACUGCGGUAAACAUCCGCUGGUCUACUUUUCUCUUCCAGGCCUCGCUCGCCUGCUGGCGGGAUGUUUCAAGAAAGUAAGUAGAUGAUUUCUAAGAUUGCUUCUAGCUUUGCUCUUUUGAAAAGUUGAUGUGCAUACUUAAGUUUUCUAGAAAGAAUCCCACUUGGGCUGCUGAAGCAUGCCGUCUUACUCUGGAAAGCAUAACUAUUACAAUUAGGCGAUAAUUGGUAUUACUUCUUCAGCUGCACCUCACUCAGGAACCAUAAAUUCUUUAUGUAGCUUUAAAGCUAUGAUUAAUAAUUGCACUACUGGGAUGAAGCUCACACUCAGUGGUAGAGUCUACAGACAUUGAACACAUUUAAUAUUCUGGAAAGAAAAGGUUGUUUCCUACAAAGCCAGUAAAUGUAUCCGAAAUCUUGGAUAAAAACAGAAUGAAGAAAAUAAGUCUUGGGGAAUGUUUUUCUAUAACAAUCAAAAGUUUAGAAUCCAUUUUUGGAGAAGUAAAGUAUCAUGGACCGCUAAAAGAGAGUUGCACGGCAGGGUGGGGGAUGGGAAAUCCAGCAUCACACAUGGAUGAUGCAAUGCUGUUGAGGCAGGAUAGACAACUAAGGCUGGUCAUAGUCCUAUCGGUCAGGUCACAACCAGGUCACAGCAUAGCACUUUCCCAGCAAGACCCAAGGACCUUGAACUCAAACAAGACUCACCCUUUAGCUUUUCUCCUACCAGGUUCCUGUGAUUGUUUUUGAUAUUUUUAGUUCCUGUGGGUGUGUGUGCAUGAGUGUGGAGGCCAGAGACCAACCUCAAGUGUUGUUCCGUAGGGGCCAUCUACUCUGCUUUUGGAGACAGCAUCUCGCACUGGGAUCAACAGCUCACUGAUUACGUUAGGCUGGCUAGCCAAUGAGCCUCCCAUCUUUGCCUCCCCAUCUCCGAAACUACAAGCUGGUGUCCUUGCCUGUCUUAUUAUGUGGACUCUGGGGAUGGAACUCAGGCUGUCACAUUUGCACGGUAAGCACUCUGGACUCUGGCACCCCUCCAGCUCCAUUUCUGAGUUCCUUUAGUGCUGUGGCUGCCUGCCAGUUCUCUGAGCCUGAUGUACUACAUGAUAGUCACCAAGCCCUAUUCAUUCUAUGCUUUAGAAACCCAUCUCUUCUGUCUCCAGUCAAUUACGUCAUUUAAACUGUUACCAUGACCUAAGUGAUCUUUCAGUCCCUUCCCUCCUAGCUAAGUCUUCUACUCCGUUUGGUUCUAACACAGAUGAAACCCUGCUGCUUAGGCACAGAAUCUGCUCCUGAGGUGGCUGACCAGAUCUGCAAUUUUAGGCUGAUCUUCUUCUGUUGCUCUCAAGACCACUUGGGAUUCUUCGAACACCUCAGCCUCAUGAUACACAUGCUCCACCCUUUCCAGACAUUUACUUCUCCCUUUUUCUGCUUUCCCCUAGUUAUGAACUCAUCCCCCGCAGCUCCCACAGCCUGUGUUAGAGCAGCUAGCACACUGCUCUGCUUCUAACAAAUCCUUAGGGGUUGAAUGUUCCUGGGUACAAACCUCAGUUCCUCCUUUGUAAAAACCUAGUAACUUGCUUCCCCGUGCUCUGGUCCCUUCAUACAUAGAUACUUCCUAAUUUAUAGGUCUCCCAUCAUUAUUAAAGUUGAUGCAUAUAAAGUAUUUAGGAGGGAGCCUGGCAUAUAACAGAUGCCAAAGAACAAGUAAAAGAAGGGCCACGGAGAGAGAGAGUCUUAAAUAACCUAGACAGUCAAAGCUAGGGAACUCUGCCAAGAAUUUGGAUUAACAGUUAUAUCUUUGUUAAUCAGGAAGUCAAUUCUGUGCCAAGAUCUCCUUCCCCUGAACUCAGAUUCAGGUACAUGUAUGUAUACUUAUGAAUUUUUCAGUGUGUAAAUGGUGAAUAAGCACAUGUCCAGAUUAUCUAGGUGUUUUAUGUAAUAGAUACAUAAAAGGAAAACAGAUGCAUAUAGAAAGGUCUGGAAGGACUAGCAUGGCAGCCUGUAGAAUAUGAGUGCAAGUGUUUUCAUUUUGUGUGAGUGGAAUUUUAUGUUGAGGGAAUGCAGAGAUGGCUCAGUGAUUCGAAGCGCUUGCUGCCCCUGCAGAGGACCUGGCUUCAGUUCUUAGCACAGGACCUGGGUUCAGUUCUCAGCACCCACAUCACAUGGCUUACAAGCAUUUGUAACUCGUGUUCAGGGGAGUGGAGUGUAUGCUUUCCUCUGGUCUUCAUGAGUACCUGAACAUACUGGACACAUACAGACAAGGUAGGUAGGCAGGCAUAUCCAUCAAUAAAAAUUUAAAAAGAAAAUAUAUUUAUCGUGUAUUGCUUUUACCCAUAAGGAAAAUAACAUCAAUCAUUUAAAAAUUUUCCCCUUGGCCCCUGCAGUUGCGACAUGCAGGAGGCUAGUAGGAAAACAUGUUUUAAUCCAGGGGCCAAGGUCAAUAUUGUUCUAAAGCAGUCUGAAAAGGAAGGGCUUUGGAGGUAGAGGAAGGAGAAGGCACAGGUCCAAGUUACCUAGUGAAUUUAUAGGAAAAGGGAAUUCAGGGGAUAACUUUCAGGGCCCAGGUACCCCAUUUCCGAAUGAUGAAAUGUACUUUCGUUCCCUUUGCUGAAAGUGCCCAGCAUGGAAAGAUAGAUUCAAUUCUAGGCCUUGACUUCAUUCUCCUACCCACUUUGGGGAAAUCACAGGAACUCUCCAUUUGCUUCCUCAUCUCAUACAUGGUAAUAAGAAUAAUGGCUUCCCACAGGACUCUGCUGCCUGGGGUCAUUAGAAUGAGCUUUAAGUAUCCAGCCUGAGGCAAAGGCUUGUUCCGAUGACUCUACCAUGCCACAUACUGAGAGGCAUGUGCUUUGCCUCACAAACCCAACUUCUCUGUAAUAGUGACAACUGGAUUGCACAAGGCUGAAAGGUCGACUUUCUCCCCAUGUGCCUUUUCCAGAACCCACAGAGGAGAAAGACUCUUCAGGUCAGUUCUGCUGAGGCUGACAACUGACUGACCCCUCAGCCCAGGCCUGAGGGCUGUGUGUGGUAGGAGGCUGGAGAAGUCUGUGGAGUGUUCUGUUCUUUGCAUCUCGAGACAGACUUAGAUUCAUGAAGCAGAUAUCUCCGUUCGUGUGAGAGGCUGGAACAUAUGCUUGCUUGCUUGCUUGCUUGCCUGAGGGGCUGUGAAUCAAAGGAUGCGUACGGCAGCAUUUGCUUCUCCUUGCCAUCUGGUUUCGGCUUCUCCCGCACCAGGCUGUACAAGCCCUGACACCUGUUAUCGAUCCUCCAGCUGAUCAAAAGAGUUGAGCUACCUGUGCUUGAAAUGUCAAAAGUGAUACAGAGAGCUGGGAUUUUACAGUCUCUUGAGGUAAGAGCAGGCUCUCAGGGACUCAUGAAGAAGCUGUGUGACUCAGACUGUAGAGUGAGUGGCACUCCCUAGCUUCUCCAUUCGCUCCCCUCAUUUCAAUGUACAUGCCAACCAACACUCCAUUUUUAAGACUCAGAGUUGGAAGAGACUACAGAGCUUCCCUUACCCAACCAGGCUCACUUGACAGACGAUGAAAAGUAUAUCCUAAGAGAUGGCACAUCAUGCCAAAUACCAUAUGGUGAAUCAACUCCAACAGAAGAAAAGAAUAACAAAAGCUCACAGAAGAAGUUGGGUCCAUGCCCGUAUCAUGCCCAGGCAUCUGGCCAAAGCAAUUAAUCCUGUGAAAAAUAAUUCUAAAAAACCCAUAGCUUUAUGUGGAAAUUAAAAAAAAAAUACUAAUGUUUGAUCCCCUCCUCUGUGCAUGAAAUUCUGUUCUCUUGCUUGGGGAUUGGCAUUCCUCGAGUACCAUAGACCGCUGUAGUCUGCAGCUGGGAGUGAGAGCCUCAUAGAGUAUAUCGGGAAAACCAGUGGAGCCCAAAGACACAAGAAUGAGUCUGGGCCUUUUCCAGAUCAUCAGUGUGGCCCUGGGCAAGUUGCUUAACUGCUUCUAUCUCAUGUACCCAUUAAUCCUUAGGUCACACAAAACCGAAGUCGAGAUGAAGCAAUGUUCAUGAAAGUGUCUUGCAAACUCUGAAGUGCUGUUGCCCUGGGAGUCCAGACCCUUUAGGGACAGGCGGCGGAACACUUUCCUAGAACUUCUUUUUGAUAUUCAGUCAUUGAAUCCGACUCUGUCAAGUUACUGAGUUUUUACUAGAAAAGGAAUAUUAUGUUAGGUGCUGGUCACAUGACCUUCUACAAAGGUGAAGAUUGAUUACAUCCCUUGGAAGGGGAAGUGGACAUUUGAAUAAGUAGUUAUGAUGAUAAGAAAUAUGGCCACAGAUGAGAACAAAGGAAGAGGUGCCAUGGCUGUGGGACCGAGAUCAGAAAGGAGACAAGAGUCUGCCCAGUCAGUUUUGGGUGGUAAAUACCUGGGAGGGCUGUCCCAAGCUGAGCGUUACACAGGUACCAGGGUGUGCUUGGGGCUGGCUGAGGCCCAGGUAGGGCAGGUUAUCGUUCCAUGUACGAAGGAAGAAAAGCCAUUGUUUCAGAAGAAAGGAAAAACGAACAUUUCUGGCAGGUUUAAAAACCAAACAACUUUACAAAGAUCAGAAUGAUGGAAUUAGCUUUUAGAGACUUAGUUGGCUCUUCCUCCCAGCCACAGGUAAAUGGAAUUUCAAAGUUACGCAGACUGAAGCCCGUUAUUGGCCCCGGACUGAGCAAAGUUAUCAGGUGACCGAAGAAAAGAAACAAUUAGAAACAAUUAGAAACUUUCCUGAUUUAAAGGAAAAUGAAUGGGAAAUAAGUGUGCAGGGACUUAACACAUCUAUAGAGUGUGUUUUUUUUUUUUUUUCUCGCUCCUUUUAAGUGUUUCUAGCAGCCUUGACACUUAUAAGACUUAAAAAUAAUUAGGAAUAGUUGGGGUUUCAGACUCUGGAAAAGCUUAUAAGAAAUGCCUAGUGAGGAGCAUCAAGUAACACAGCAGACAGGAAAGGUUGAAGAGCUUCAAGCCCAUUAGAAUUUAAAGUGGUAGGUCUCCGAAUCCCAAAUGCUCCUUUAAAAAAAUGUGGUGUCUCUUUAAGAGCCAUUUGGUGCAUUUCAUAGCCUGAUUCAUGUCACCAGCUGCCUCUGAUUUCAGUGAGAAAUGCAGAAUUUAUAGGGAACUGUAAAAUGGGGACAGGUUUCUAGUUUUCUAAAUUGAGGUUUAACUGGCAAACUUCUGAAGACUCAAGAAACCACAAGCGAGGCUGUGAGGAACUGUUUUCUUUUCCGGUCAGGAAAAAAAAUAUAAACACACAAACACAUUAUCUAACUCUCAAAGUCUUGGGAGAAAGAAGUCACUGCUCUUUGCGGAGUAGCAAAAAGGAAGAAUCAGUCUUGUGGGCAGGAGGAGGAGGAGGAGGAUCACAUUGGCCAGUAGGCAGCACCCUGUGCUGGCAGAAAGAGAAAUCUGAGCCUCAGCCGCGCCAGGAACAGGCUUUGCACAAACUAUCUGGUUUCAAGUUGCGAGUCUCCGGAGUCCCUGAAAAGGUGCCCCGGGAACAGGACUCCCUUUGCAGGGCCCCGAGGAUUGAUGAGAAUCCCCCAUCCCCAACCACCCAGAGGAUAAGCAGCAGAUCUGGUAGAUGCCUUCCUUAGGAGUCAGCCAAGGCUCGGCUGGAGUUGCUGGAAUGCAUACAGCCACUGAGGUGCAAUGGAGGCUCUGGUGACUUCUGCAGCUGCCCCCUGGCCUGCACUAUGUUUUUGAGGUGCCAUUGGAAGCCGGAAGAGACCCUCAGAUCUACUGGGGCUGGAGCUACAGGUAGCCAUGGAUUGCCCCACGUGGAUUCUGGGACUGAAUUCCAGUUCUCUACGAAAGCAGUAAGUGCUCUCGAUUGUCAAUUAUGUUCCGGCCUGGCACCUUCUGGCAAACUGUCUGAAGGAUGUACCUAUAACUACCUCAUUUCUGGAUCCCACGAGGAGACGUUUGUAAUGCUUCACACAUUCUGUAGUUCUUCGCAGUUCUUCACAGCCUGUAUACUGUCAUCUCACUAAAAGAAUGUCUGCAUGAAUACUGUUGGGGGAAAAUAACGACUUGAACACUUUAGAAAGCCCUUCUUGGACCCAGGUAAAGAUCACUAUUGAAAUGUCCUUAACAGGGUUUCACGAUCCUCACUUUUAUUGGCUCUGGAUAUUUAAACAGUUGUUAGUAUCAUUGUGCUCUAUGCUCUCUGGCCCACAUCAGUACUUGAAAUGCACUCUGAAACUCUUUAGGAAUGUGAGGAACAUCCUUAAGCAUUCUCCACAAACCCAACAUCUCUUCAGAAUAUAUACUGAAGACCUCAAGAACUUUCUGUGGCAUGUGUCUUCCUGUUGGCCUCCACUCCAGGUCUUAGCGGUGGGUGGCAUUCAUGAUAAAAUGUCUCCAUGAAUGAACCAUGUCUUUGCUGUUGCUGUGAUUAAAAUCUUCACUGUGAAGUCUGGACCCUUUUGAGGGUCUGAACUGGCUUCUCUCUAGACUCUCACAUUCUAAUACGGUGUCUCUCAACCUUCCGAAUGCUGUGACACGUUAAUACGGUCUACCAUAUUCCAGUGAUUUCCCCCAAACCACAACAUCACUUUCAUUGCUACUUCAUAACUCUAAUUUUGUCACUGUUAGGAAUUAUAAUGUGAUAUCUGUGUUUCCUGAUGGUCUCAGAUGACCCCUGUUACAGGACCAUGUGACCCCAAAGGGGGUUGCAAUCUUUAGGUUGCUUUAGAAAGACCCACUUGGACACAGGUAAAGAUAAUUUCUGAAAUGUCCUUAGCAGAUUUAAAUGAUUCUCACCGCUCUAAUCCACCUACUAUUCCCACUGGCAAUCCUUUUUAAAUAUAUAUCGGGAAGUAGUUAUUGAUAAGAAUUGGAGACGUGGGCCUGAGGCCCAACAUAUCUGGUUGGGAAUCUAGAGUCUAGCAUUUCUUAGAUGCUUGGCCUUAAGGAAGAGUCCUCCCCUCACUGAACCUCAGUUCUUACCUCAUGUCACUGAGCCAGCUGAGGAAACUGUCAUCGAACCCAGGUCCUGGCUUAUCCCUUAAAUAUUGUUAUUAUACUACUUGUUAUCUCUGUCACAAUGAAAUGUACGUGGCUUUUCACAAGUUACAUUUUAUCUUUAAAUUACGCUGUUUUCCACAUAUGUGGAUUAUGAUAGAAUUCAGCGCUAAUACUUGAUAAUAAUUGUAGGACAUGAUAAUAAUUCAAGGGGCGAACUGUAACUUAGACUUGGACCUCAUCAUAAAAACCUAUACAAGUUUUCUUUAUUCUGACGCUCCAGAAAUGCCCCCAACCUUUGACAGCUGACUCCCAGGUGCCUUUUGGUCCUCCUGUCUCUUCUGCCAAAAGCCCUGAGACUAAGUAGAUGAAGUCCUCUUUAGAACUGUGACAAGAGACUCAGGACCUCAGCCCCUUCUGGUUUAGUGGGUGUUUUUGACUUAUGAAACGGUGUGUGCUUCAGAUCACUAGACGGUCUGCAGGGGCCCUCCCAACUGAUACAAUCCUUGUCAGGGCAUGCUUAUGUGAGGCAAGAGAUGCCACCGAGGGAACAGGGAAAGGCUGACGGCAUCUCUUUUCUCAGAUGCCCUGUGGACAUCACUUGUUGUGGGGCAGAGACCGGGGCCUGAAGGGUGGCCACAGUCCUUGUCCUUCACAAUAAUCAGAGCAUUUUAUGUAGCUUGCCUAGGUUCGUUUCUUAAAUCUGCACUAAGGGAGUUCUGUUACUCCCCAGCCUACCGUUUGGCACCACGUACAGGUGGCCGAUGCUUGUUGGUGUCAUAGAAGUGUUACAGGAUUCCACACAGAACUGUAAUCAGAGCAUUUUAUACCAAACACCAAUUGAAAAACCAAUUACACCAAAAUAACUUCUUUACACCAACUUAGAGUUUGGAACAGAUAUUAUUUAUAAAGUAGGGUUUGUUCCUGAGUAUGUUUUGGUCUUCAGUUAAAUUCUUUUUAAACUCAGGCUCCAUGGUACAAUGGCUCCGGAAUUGGUAAUAAUAAAACAUUAGUUACACUGGUGGGUAAUGGCUUUAUUUAAAAUAAGAUGAAAUGUUAACUCAGUGUCUCCCAGGACUCUGUAAAUGUCUUUAAGCAGCUAUCCAGAGGCCUCAGCAGUCCUAGUACUCAUUAGAUGGGUAGCUGAGACACAUUGACCAAUUUACGUUUUGUGUCGGAGUUUCCCCUUGUUCUUAUGUUUGAGCCUCACAAUUCCUCUGGGGAUCUUUCCUAUAGCUCCUUUUACUGGCAGAGGAACUGAGAAUCAAAGACAUUUGUUUGCUUUAAAUCCAAGCCUUCAUAGGAAAUAACAAAGCCCAGGAAGCUAUGAAGCAACCCAGGGUUCAGGGCAAGGGUCUGCUGCCAGACAUUAUACCGUGUGGGCUCCAUCACUACAUUGAGUCAGCACACAUGAAUGGGAGUCAGGCUUACUUCAUGGAGAUAGGCUAUGCAAAGUGUUUAGCGUGGGAUUAGGCACUGACACGUAAUGAACUUAGGCAUUCUCCAUCUUCCACUCCACUUUCCACUGGAGCACUUGGGUGUUGACAAACACAGCCACAGGCAGCUUACAAUUUACGCAUUUCUCCAAACCACCCAGGAACACGCUCCUCCUAACCCAGCCUGAAACUGGCUACAUUGUCACUUCCCUCCCAUCUUGUGUGCCCUGGGUGUUGGGAAGUUUUCUCCACUCUCCCUUCCCAUUCCUCUGGCCUGGGAGUCAAUGUUUCAACCCUUUGCCUUGCCCCAGAUCUGGAACCUCUGGGAGUGGCAGGUGGCUGGGUAGGUGGGUGGGCUGUUACAUUGUGUCGGAAAGGAAGAGAAGCGAAAAAUGCUUGCAGUGAGAAGCUACUCAUCCUCCCUGAGGCGUCUUUCCUUCACUUAGAGCCUUUGCUUCUGCCACCCUGGUCAAGCCCCCCUGGAGUAGCCUUUGUCCCGGAUCUGGAUAAGUACUUGUCCUGUGGGCGAGGCAGACUCCACCAUCAGAGAAGCUGGCAGGAACACAAAUUCACGUGUCUUCCACACUAGCCUACAGAAUAAGAGUGCGGAAGCACUUUGUGCUCUUAGGAGUUCUGAGGGCAAUUCUGAUGUGUGUUCAGAUUUGAAAAUCACGCUUUUAAAGAAAGAGUGUGAAAGAAAGCAGAGAGCCUGAACAUUCCACUUUGAAUCCUGCUGAGCACUGGGCUAACCCUUUCUGGAUUUUUCCCAAAGGCUAUAUGCUGGCCCUAGAGACCUGAGCCUGGAGCUGGGGGUACUCACCUUGCUAACUUUUGCUUUGUGGGACAGCAGGUGGUUAAAGAGGCAUCUGGUCUGCUAUUUGCCAAGGGCCGACCAUUCUACACCCACAGUUUCAUUUAAUUUUUAUUUUAACAUUCUUGAAAGAGAAUGUAUCUGUAUAGUUGGAGAUGUCUGGAGUUGUGCUUUGAGAAGAUUAGAGAGAAGGUGGAGGAAGUGGCGCUUCAGAGGACACAGACUCUCCAUUAAGUAGGGGAGAGCUCACUUACUGACUCAUGCUGCAGGGCAAACUAAGGGCUAGAAAGGAGAAAGGGCUUGCCCAAGACCAUGCAGAAAGUCGAUGUCUACCAAUAACUUGCUCUGCCUAUGCCUUAUCAAUAAACAAAUGAUUGCAUUUUAAAACUGUUUUGAAUUUUGUACAUUAAGGUAAAUUUGAGUUUAUAGAAAAGUGGCAACAAUAGCGUCCUCUGACUCUCCUUCUUGCCUUUUCUACCUUACCAUCAUUAAGACCACAGGGGAUUAAGACCUUCAAUCCUGCAUUCUGAGUAAUUGUGGAUUUAUGCUCAGUUAUAAGAAAUAUUACAGAUACUCCUGUGUAGUCUUAGGGAUGUUUUGCCUGACAGGAACAUCUCGUGCAGAACUUAUAUGGUUGUUUAAGCAUUUUCUUUCCCUCUCUCUCUGAUUUUAUAUUCAGGCUCAACCUUAGACCGAUGCUCUCCGCACUCCCCUGAAGAGACACCUGAACUUUUCUGCAAGAAUUUUCUAAGCCCCCAUGGGUGCUGCUAUCCAUUGCACAUGUAGGAGGUGGGAAGCUCAUCCACACAGGGUUGUAGGAACUGACCCUUCUGAGAUUGUCCUUGGAGAGAUCUAGAGCCAAUCUCUAUGUGCUGGAAACACAUCCUGUCUAUACUGCUGAGCCGAGCACAGAAUACUCUUUGUGCUCCCUUGUUUGAUGCUGGAUUCCUCCUUCCAGUAGGUGUUCACUUUAGCAACUAAGGGCAUGGCUGAACGAAUGAACUCCAGGUAGGUGUGUGUCACAGAGCAAUCUUCAUUCAACAGCAGCUUUGUUGCUAGGACACAAGGAUAGCCAGUCUGGCCAGUCAGACACAAAGCCAAGAAGUGUGUGCCUUGCUGAGGGAAAGAGACCCUAAAAGCUGACAUGGGUGGGUACACCAGAGUAAGUCUCUGGAACUGGGGCAAUGGUAACUCUUAAGUUCUGUGAGUCCUGGGGCCCUGUGGCAACCUGUCUUCGCAGCUCUGACUUACUGUGUUCCUGAGUGAGCUGAGAGAAAUUCAAUUCAUGCGUUCCUGGGCAAUUUAUAUGAUUUUCAGCAAAAUGCCACAGUCAUGUAUUAGCCACUGGAUGUCAACGGUAAUGCUUUCUUUGUUCCUUUUGGAACUCAGUCCCCGAUGGGAAGCCAGCUGGUCCAUUACCGGACAAUGAGCAAGAGCAGGGGGCACAGUGUCCGAGGGUGGUGUCUGCCAGAGCACUGCAGUGUCCAGUGAGAAGUGGGAGAGGUCAUGAGCUGCCAGCUCUGCCAAGCAGGCUGGCAGGACCUGGGAGAGGUGCAAACAGCUUGGGGAUUCGAAGGAGCUGUGAGGCUUCUGGUGCAGAGGAGAACAGGGAUCACGAGGUAAACACUAGGCUUGCUUCUUGUUCAGCUUUGGUAAGUUAACUUUCUCCCCUAGGCCUUGUCUACCUCUUCUGCAGAAUGCCUUACUGGAACCCAUGAUCUCUGUGGACCCAGAUAGACUAUUAACUUAUUUUAACGAGACUUCGGUGUCUCACUAUGAAUAUUAUUUGGUGCUGCCUAAAUAAAUGUUUUUCCAAGAAAUA
rnacentral:sRNA from 1 species